AGCGCAGGCGGUUUCUUAAGUCUGAUGUGAAAGCCUUCGGCUUAACCGGAGAAGAGCAUCGGAAACUGGGGGACUUGAGUGCAGAAAAGGACAGUGGAACUCCAUGUGUAGCGGUGAAAUGCGUAGAUAUAUGGAAGAACACCAGUGGCGAAGGCGGCUGUCUGGCCUGUAACUGACGCUGAGGCUCGAAAGCAUGGGUAGCGAACA
rnacentral:rRNA from 1 species